rnacentral:rRNA from 1 species
ACGAACUCCUGGUAUUGAUUGGUGCUUGCAUCAUGAUUUACAUUUGAGUGAGUGGCGAACUGGUGAGUAACACGUGGGAAACCUGCCCAGAAGCGGGGGAUAACACCUGGAAACAGAUGCUAAUACCGCAUAACAACUUGGACCGCAGGGUCCGAGUUUGAAAGAUGGCUUCGGCUAUCACUUUUGGAUGGUCCCGCGGCGUAUUAGCUAGAUGGUGAGGUAACGGCUCACCAUGGCAAUGAUACGUAGCCGACCUGAGAGGGUAAUCGGCCACAUUGGGACUGAGACACGGCCCAAACUCCUACGGGAGGCAGCAGUAGGGAAUCUUCCACAAUGGACGAAAGUCUGAUGGAGCAACGCCGCGUGAGUGAAGAAGGGUUUCGGCUCGUAAAACUCUGUUGUUAAAGAAGAACAUAUCUGAGAGUAACUGUUCAGGUAUUGACGGUAUUUAACCAGAAAGCCACGGCUAACUACGUGCCAGCAGCCGCGGUAAUACGUAGGUGGCAAGCGUUGUCCGGAUUUAUUGGGCGUAAAGCGAGCGCAGGCGGUUUUUUAAGUCUGAUGUGAAAGCCUUCGGCUCAACCGAAGAAGUGCAUCGGAAACUGGGAAACUUGAGUGCAGAAGAGGACAGUGGAACUCCAUGUGUAGCGGUGAAAUGCGUAGAUUUAUGGAAGAACACCAGUGGCGAAAGCGGCUGUCUGGUCUGUAACUGACGCUGAGGCUCGAAAGUAUGGGUAGCAAACAGGAUUAGAUACCCUGGUAGUCCAUACCGUAAACGAUGAAUGCUAAGUGUUUGGAAGGGUUUCCGCCCUUCAGUGCUGCAGCUAACGCAUUAAGCAUUCCGCCGGGGGAGUACGGCCGCAAGGCUGAAACUCAAAGGAAUUGACGGGGGCCCGCACAAGCGGUGGA